CAGCGUUGUCAGUGCUUCUUUGAUUCGUACACAGUAUUGUCAUUGUUAAAAACAAUAAAAUAAUGUAAUAAGUAUUUGUGACGUUUGAAAGCUUUUAAUUCGAAUAAUAUGGACCUGAAAAUAGUUGUACUAUGCGCUUGUCUCGCUUUUGCUAACGUCGCUGUAUCAAAACCCACAAGUAAUGAAGAGGUUCCAUGUAUAAACUGCGAGACUAAUGUGGCAGAAACACGACCAAAACGGCACAUAGAAAAAAUAAUUCAAGGAAUCGGAGAAUUGAUUACCAAUGUUUUAGUAAGAAAAAUCUACUUUGAAAUAAUUAACAAGGAAUACAAAAUAGAAAAAACGUUAA